rnacentral:rRNA from 1 species
UACGUAGGGUGCAAGCGUUAAUCGGAAUUACUGGGCGUAAAGCGUGCGCAGGCGGUGAUGUAAGACAGGUGUGAAAUCCCCGGGCUUAACCCUGGGAACUGCAUUUGUGACUGCAUCGCUGGAGUGCGGCAGAGGGGGAUGGAAUUCCGGCGUGUAGCAGUGAAAUGCGUAGAUAAUGCGGAGGAACACCGAUGGCGAAGGCAAUCCCCUGGGCCUGG